GACGAACGCUGGCGGCGUGCUUAACACAUGCAAGUCGAACGGUAAGGCCCUUCGGGGUACACGAGUGGCGAACGGGUGAGUAACACGUGGGUGAUCUGCCCUGCACUUCGGGAUAAGCCUGGGAAACUGGGUCUAAUACCGGAUAGGACCACUGCCUGCAUGGGUGGUGGUGGAAAGCUUUUGCGGUGUGGGAUGGGCCCGCGGCGUAUCAGCUUGUUGGUGGGGGGAUGGCCUACCAAGGCGACGACUGGUAGCCGGCCUGAGAGGGUGACCGGCCACACUGGGACUGAGAUACGGCCCCGACUCCUACGGGAGGCAGCAGUGGGGAAUAUUGCACAAUGGGCGCAAGCCUGAUGCAGCAACGCCGCGUGAGGGAUGACGGCCUUCGGGUUGUAAACCUCUUUUAGCAGGGAAGAAGCGAAAGUGACGGUACCUGCAGAAAAAGCACCGGCUAACUACGUGCCAGCCGCCGCAGUAA
rnacentral:rRNA from 1 species